AGGGGAGAAUAUUACUGUGUUUAGGGAUUAAACUAUUCAGCUCUAGUGUGUUGGUAGAGGGAUGUAUUGGAAAGAGGGUCUCCAUAGUUUUGAGACGAAAAACCUAAAAAGGCUAAAAAUCUAAAAUCAUUCUUUUUCUUCCGAGACGCUGGCCGAGAAGGUUACUCCGUUACUCUAGACAUCAUUGCUGGGUACUUUCUUUCCUGACAUUGUUCUUCAUAAAAAAAGGUUGAUUGAGAUUUUUCUCAGCGUCCAGUGCCAAAUCGACAAGAUGCCUCUGAUGUAUCAUGUUGCGAGAUGAAAAUGGGAAGAAAACAGGAAAUCUGAAAUGAUUCCUCGGGUCAGUUUGGCGUUGAAGCUGCUGGUGGUAAUGUCUGGCGUACAGUGGUGUGGCAGUCAUUUUGUGAUUGAAAGUUGCACUGAAAUGGAUCUUCUGCAGACCUGCAGUUCAACUGACUUCAAUUUACCAUGUUGGUGUCCAUGCAGUGUUGAACUUUUGUGUGAAAUAGUUGGUGUUGCCUGAUGGUCGUCUUACAUUUUGGUGUCGUCUCUUGCUACAUUUACCCACGUUAAGUUCGAUCGUAUGCCGCCGUUUCAGACUUGAUCCAUUGUUGAAGCUGAGGAGUUGCUGAAAUUCAAGACUGAUAAAUCAUUAGAUUUAUAUCAAUUGAAAAUGCAAAUCUUUUGUCCCUUUUCCCUAAGUAAACAAAAUGUCCUGUUGGUUAGUUAGAAAACCAGUGGUGUAAUGAUCGAAUGAGGAACUGUAACGAGAAAGAAAAGUUAAACCACCAAAAUUCUUUUACUCCGAUGAAUUCUACCGCUUUCACAACGAUUCUUAAACAUUUCGCUCUUAAUCAAUAUUAUUACCUCGUUAAAAAAAUAUAAAUUGUUGAAACCAAAA